ensembl:snRNA Gm26437 predicted gene, 26437
UGCUCAUUUCGGCAGCAAUAUACUAAAAUUGGAACAAUAUAGAAAAGAUUAGCAUGGAACCUGCGUACGGAUGACACUCAAAUUCGUGAAAUGUUCCAUAUUAUA